ACGGUCCGUGUCAUCAGCCACACAGGUUAGAUGAUCCACAUCCAGCUCCGUUACAGCAAGAUCUGACCUUGGAUCCUGCUGGGGUUCCUCAGCCUGAUAGUCCGGAUAUCACUUUCAUCAUUGCACUCCAGUCACAGCAGUUGGCCAACCGGCACAGCAGUUGAGCCAGUUAUCCACCAUGAUGCAGCAGUUGCUAACUGCUCAGCAGCAACCGUCACAACCACAGCCUCCUCCAGUGCUGCCUUCCACUGCCACCGUCUCCUCCGGAACAAAACUCUGCUUGACACUUCCAGAGAAAUAUGUGGGGACCUUUGGAUAGGGGAAAAGAUGUCUUAGGGCCGGAGUACCCCUUUAAUGUUUUGAGUGCAAUUUUUUUUUCAGUUACAAGUUUCCAAUUGGAAGAAUUUAUUUUUGACUUCUUGUACAAACUGAAAACUGGAGAAUUUUGUUUUGUUGCUAGAGUACUUCUUUAGAACCACCGUUUAUUUAAUGGAAAAAGCAGCAGAAAACUUGCUCAGAAUAUCUGCGAUAGUUGCCUUAACUUUUUUUUAAUGUUUUCUACACUUAUUCUCGCAGGAAGAUGCUUUUUGCACUGGCAUAUGGAAAUAUCUGGACUGUGUUUUUUGGAAUAAAUCCUCGGCAUGUGCAUAAUGUGUAAACAGGAUUGGCAAACCGCUCUCUUCCCUGACCUCUGAGAGAUCCGUGCUGACGACCAGUGACGCCGAGGUUUUGGUCGCAGAUAGUUUACUGUCCAUACACAUUUAACAGCUAUCAGCAAAACAAGGAAGAAGACAACAGUGAAUCAGCCAGUCCUGACAAAAUCAGAAGGCCUGCAGCUGUAAGCUCCGCUGCUCUCCUUUGUCCAGACUCUGCUACAGCGUGAACUUAGGGCAGAAGCAGGCAUCAGUGACGUAGCACCUGCUGGGGCAUGCCCCCCUUCCUCCCCUCGCACGUGGAAGGAUCCUGAGCUUCUGAAUCGGCUACUAAAAAGUGACCAGAUGUUAUCAAACGAUAAAGGUGUCAAACCGAGAUGAAGUUAGAGCAGCUUCGACAUGAAGGACAGUAGAAAGGAGAAGAAUAUUAGUUAUGUACAUUAUGAAUACUAACUAAAUGGUGGAAUCGACUUCUAAAGGAGAGGAACAUGGAUCUUAAAAUAAAAUCUACACUUGAAUACAUUUAUCAAAAAAAAUGUGUAAGGAUUAAUAAAAAUCAUUCU